CCAAUGCAAAGUUCAUAUUUAUCCAGCACUUUUGGAAUAGCUCUCAUCUGACUGACCUGAGGCAGGUCUUGCCUGUCGUGUAUCCGUGCCACCCUCUCCUUGGGCUUUGCCCAUCCCUGCUUGCUCCUUCCCACUCUUUGCUUAAAAACCUUCACACACAUUUGGGGAGACCAUGGGUCUCAUACUCUGUUUUUACUAGCGCAUCUGCCAAGCUCAUACCUUGCAUUGUGUCAGAUUUCUGCAUCUAACCUUGCCUCAGCUUUCUACAACCGAAGCAACAGCAGGCUAGGAUUUGAGGGGAAAGGGACUCCCAUAUAACAGCCCCUUGCUGGCUACGUACAAAGGGAUGUGGUUUACUUUGUGACUCCCUUGGAAAUGCUUCAAAGGGUCCUGGAGAAGUGCCUGGCUCGGAAGUGGACCUCCAAGGACUACAGAGACUUUGACCACAGCCUGAGUCAGGAUGCAGAUGAGUAUCCUGUGUGGAGGAGAUGGGGGUUUCUGUGGGGCGCACGUGAGCCCUCCCUGUGGGGAGGAGGAGGAGGAAGAGGAGGAGGAAGAGGAGGAGGAGGAGGCGGCUCCCAGAUGUGAGCUCCCUCUCAGAGCAAAGUGCUCCUGCAGAGCCCCACAGUCCAGCGCGCGAGCAGGUGGGCAUUGCCCCAGGUCUGGGGCUCCACAGGCUGCUGCUCCUGAACAGCGCUUGUCGCUUGGAGGAACGAGGGCUAACAGAAACCCCAGGAGCACGCAGCAGCGCCGUUGGUUUAACAACCUCUUGGCAGGCAGUGCUGCGGCCGAAACCCCCCUCUCCGUCUUUUUUCGGCUCAUUUCCAACUAGAGCAGCUGGGAGACAAGGUGAUAACGGGGAUCAGUGUCUACCAGGUACCUGUAACGAAGGCUCCAGCACGCUUCCUCGCUUGAGGCAAACUCUGUUUCGUGCACAGGCCACAUAAUCUGUGUGCAGAGCAGCUGUGAGAAUCACGUUUGCAAGUAAGGUCAGACUCCUCCUGCAUAAUGGGAUCAAAAAAACAAGGAACUUGCUUAGUUUGCUCAUCGCCUCACUGCAAUCAUUUUGUUAACUACAAGGAAGUAAGCUGACACUGCUUCAUUUAAUCCUGUUUAUUUGGCAAGGACAUGGUUUAGUCAACUUCUCACUGACACUAUUUGAUUUUUGGUCUCAUUCCCAAAAACUUAAAUUAAACAACUUGUUCUUUUAUGCACAGGAAACCUUUCCGUCUCAUGCUGGCUUAGCAUAUUCUCAUUCAAUGAGGCAUUUAUAGCUCCUAUCAAAAUGUAGACACAGGCCACCAAGUAGGCAUCUUGUAAAUCUGUAUUAGUCCAACGUUCUUCAAGCUACCUCAACCACUAAGUAGCUGAAAAAUACCACCCCAAAGGCAUGUGGGAUAGAAUUUUACCUUUCUCCAGAGAAUUACCCAGUGCAACGUGAUGACAGUUCUUCCCCAAAGCUCAGAGAAAUACUAUUCUCCAGUUAAAAUUUGCAUCCAUUCCUCUUCCACCAUCAUUCAUGCACUCACCUCCAUGGUACACAGACUUUAAUUCACAAGUGUGUUCCUGAAAAUACAACAAACACAAUACAACAAAACUGGCAUUUCUCUGUGCACUCACUUUGUAUAUGGAAGGAAGUGUGCAAAGUGCAAAUCAUUUCAAACUGCUUUUUGAAACAUUUCCCUGGAGAAAAUUCUGAUUAACUAUCGGCCGCUUUGCUGACGGACUGACAUUCUCGGAGCGCUGCUCACGGACCCCAAAAGCUGGCACGAUCGGCCCUGCGGCCGAAGGAGGGAGGCCGGCUCUGCCAGCCCCAGCUGCUCCUUGCUCCC
ensembl:lncRNA